rfam:Schistosoma margrebowiei strain Zambia genome assembly, scaffold: SMRZ_contig0001009
AUCCGGAUGAUGAGUCCCGAAUAGGACGAAACGUGCAUCCUGGAU